rnacentral:rRNA from 1 species
UUGAACGCUGGCGGCAGGCCUAACACAUGCAAGUCGAACGGUAACAGGAAACAGCUUGCUGUUUCGCUGACGAGUGGCGGACGGGUGAGUAACGUCUGGGAAACUGCCUGAUGGAGGGGGAUAACUACUGGAAACGGUAGCUAAUACCGCAUAACGUCGCAAGACCAAAGAGGGGGACCUUCGGGCCUCUUGCCAUCGGAUGUGCCCAGAUGGGAUUAGCUUGUUGGUGGGGUAACGGCUCACCAAGGCGACGAUCCCUAGCUGGUCUGAGAGGAUGACCAGCCACACUGGAACUGAGACACGGUCCAGACUCCUACGGGAGGCAGCAGUGGGGAAUAUUGCACAAUGGGCGCAAGCCUGAUGCAGCCAUGCCGCGUGUAUGAAGAAGGCCUUCGGGUUGUAAAGUACUUUCAGCGGGGAGGAAGGGAGUAAAGUUAAUACCUUUGCUCAUUGACGUUACCCGCAGAAGAAGCACCGGCUAACUCCGUGCCAGCAGCCGCGGUAAUACGGAGGGUGCAAGCGUUAAUCGGAAUUACUGGGCGUAAAGCGCACGCAGGCGGUUUGUUAAGUCAGAUGUGAAAUCCCCGGGCUCAACCUGGGAACUGCAUCUGAUACUGGCAAGCUUGAGUCUCGUAGAGGGGGGUAGAAUUCCAGGUGUAGCGGUGAAAUGCGUAGAGAUCUGGAGGAAUACCGGUGGCGAAGGCGGCCCCCUGGACGAAGACUGACGCUCAGGUGCGAAAGCGUGGGGAGCAAACAGGAUUAGAUACCCUGGUAGUCCACGCCGUAAACGAUGUCGACUUGGAGGUUGUGCCCUUGAGGCGUGGCUUCCGGAGCUAACGCGUUAAGUCGACCGCCUGGGGAGUACGGCCGCAAGGUUAAAACUCAAAUGAAUUGACGGGGGCCCGCACAAGCGGUGGAGCAUGUGGUUUAAUUCGAUGCAACGCGAAGAACCUUACCUGGUCUUGACAUCCACGGAAGUUUUCAGAGAUGAGAAUGUGCCUUCGGGAACCGUGAGACAGGUGCUGCAUGGCUGUCGUCAGCUCGUGUUGUGAAAUGUUGGGUUAAGUCCCGCAACGAGCGCAACCCUUAUCCUUUGUUGCCAGCGGUCCGGCCGGGAACUCAAAGGAGACUGCCAGUGAUAAACUGGAGGAAGGUGGGGAUGACGUCAAGUCAUCAUGGCCCUUACGACCAGGGCUACACACGUGCUACAAUGGCGCAUACAAAGAGAAGCGACCUCGCGAGAGCAAGCGGACCUCAUAAAGUGCGUCGUAGUCCGGAUUGGAGUCUGCAACUCGACUCCAUGAAGUCGGAAUCGCUAGUAAUCGUGGAUCAGAAUGCCACGGUGAAUACGUUCCCGGGCCUUGUACACACCGCCCGUCACACCAUGGGAGUGGGUUGCAAAAGAAGUAGGUAGCUUAACCUUCGGGAGGGCGCUUACCACUUUGUGAUUCAUGACUGGGGUG